GAUGAACGCUAGCGGCAGGCUUAAUACAUGCAAGUCGAGGGGCAGCACGGUUAGCAAUAACUGGUGGCGACCGGCGCACGGGUGCGUAACACGUAUACAAUCUACCUUAAACAGGGGGAUAGCCUUUCGAAAGAGAGAUUAAUACCCCGUAAUAAAUUGAACGGCAUCGUUUGAUUUUGAAAGCUCCGGCGGUUUGAGAUGAGUAUGCGUCUGAUUAGCUAGUUGGUGAGGUAACGGCUCACCAAGGCGACGAUCAGUAGGGGAUCUGAGAGGACUAAACCCCCCACAACCUGGUACUGAGACACGGACCAGACUCCUACGGGAGCAGCAGUAAGGAUAUUGGUCAAUGGAGGCAACUCUGAACCAGCCAUGCCGCGUGC
rnacentral:rRNA from 1 species